CCUACGGGAGGCAGCAGUGGGGGAUAUUGCACAAUGGGGGGAACCCUGAUGCAGCGACGCCGCGUGGGUGAAGGAGCGUUUCGGCGCGUAAAGCCCUAUCGGCAGGGAAGAAGGAGGACGGUACCUGACUAAGAAGCCCCGGCUAACUACGUGCCAGCAGCCGCGGUAAUACGUAGGGGGCAAGCGUUAUCCGGAUUUACUGGGGGUAAAGGGGGCGCAGACGGCAGUGCAAGUCCGGAGUGAAAGCCCGGGGCUCAACCCUGGGACUGCUCUGGAAACUGUAAAGCUGGAGUGCGGGAGGGGCAGGCGGAAUUCCUGGUGUAGCGGUGAAAUGCGUAGAUAUCAGGAGGAACACCGGCGGCGAAGGCGGCCUGCUGGACCGUAACUGACGUUGAGGCUCGAAAGCGUGGGGAGCAAACAGGAUUAGAUACCCGAGUAGUC
rnacentral:rRNA from 1 species